rnacentral:rRNA from 1 species
GCAGUCGUACGAGAGUUUUUAACUCUAGUGGCGGACGGGUGAGUAACACGUGAGAANUACCUUUAGGAGGGGGAUAACAAUUGGAAACGACUGCUAAUACCCCAUAUGCUUUUGAGUGAAAUGGAUUUAUAUUUAUCCGCCUAGAGAGAAGCUCGCGGCUGAUUAGCUUGUUGGUAAGGUAAGAGCUUACCAAGGCGACGAUCAGUAUCUGGUUUGAGAGGACGAUCAGACACACUGGAACUGAGACACGGUCCAGACUCCUACGGGAGACAGCAGUGGGGAAUUUUCCGCAAUGGGCGAAAGCCUGACGGAGCAAUACCGCGUGAGGGAAGACUGCCUAUGGGUUGUAAACCUCUUUUUUCAGGGAGGAAUAAAAUGACGUGUACCUGAAGAAUAAGCAUCGGCUAACUCCGUGCCAGCAGCCGCGGUAAGACGGAGGAUGCAAGUGUUAUCCGGAAUCACUGGGCGUAAAGCGUCUGUAGGUGGUUUGAUAAGUCAACUGUUAAAUCUUGAGGCUCAACUUCAAAAUCGCAGUCGAAACUAUUAGACUAGAGUAUAGUAGAGGUAAAGGGAAUUUCCAGUGGAGCGGUGAAAUGCGUAGAUAUUGGAAAGAACACCGAUGGCGAAAGCACUUUACUGGGCUAUUACUAACACUCAGAGACGAAAGCUAGGGUAGCAAAUGGGAUUAGAUACCCCAGUAGUCCUAGCCGUAAACUAUGGAUACUAGAUGUUGAACAGAUCGACCUGUGCAGUAUCAAAGCUAACGCGUUAAGUAUCCCGCCUGGG